rnacentral:rRNA from 1 species
UAAUACGGAGGGUGCAAGCAUUGAUCGGAAUUACUGGGCGUAAAGGGCGCGUAGGCGGUUUGAAAAGUCAGAUGUGAAAUUCCGGGGCUCAACCCCGGAGCUGCAUUUGAAACUUUCAGGCUAGAGGUAGGUAAGGGAAAACGGAAUUCCACGUGUAGCGGUGAAAUGCGUAGAUAUGUGGAAGAACACCAGUGGUGAAGACGGUUUUCUGUGCCUAACCUGACGCUGAGGCGCGAAAGCUAGGGGAGCAAACAGG